UGGGAAUCUUGCGCAAUGGGCGAAAGCCUGACGCAGCCAUGCCGCGUGAAUGAUGAAGGUCUUAGGAUUGUAAAAUUCUUUCACCGGGGACGAUAAUGACGGUACCCGGAGAAGAAGCCCCGGCUAACUUCGUGCCAGCAGCCGCGGUAAUACGAAGGGGGCUAGCGUUGCUCGGAAUUACUGGGCGUAAAGGGAGCGUAGGCGGACAUUUAAGUCAGGGGUGAAAUCCCGGGGCUCAACCUCGGAAUUGCCUUUGAUACUGGGUGUCUUGAGUGUGAGAGAGGUAUGUGGAACUCCGAGUGUAGAGGUGAAAUUCGUAGAUAUUCGGAAGAACACCAGUGGCGAAGGCGACAUACUGGCUCAUUACUGACGCUGAGGCUCGAAAGCGUGGGGAGCAAACAGGAUUAGAUACCCUGGUAGUCCACGCCGUAAAACGAUGAUUGCUAGUUGUCGGGAUGCAUGCAUUUCGGUGACGCAGCUAACGCAUUAAGCAAUCCGCCUGGGGAGUACGGUCGCAAGACUAAAACUCAAAUGAAUUGACGGGGUCAUAGCUGUUUCCUG
rnacentral:rRNA from 1 species